rnacentral:lncRNA from 1 species
GGCAGUGUGCUAUCUGCUAUGCUAAUGGGGUUCAUUUUUUUCUAUUUUUUUCAAGACAGGGUUUCUCUGUGUAGUCCUGGUUGUCCUUGAACUUGCUUUGUAACUAGGGUGGCCUCAAACUCAGAGAGCCACCUGCCUCUGCCUUCCAAGUGCUGGGAUUAAAGGUGUGUGGUGCGACACCAGACCAUCUGUUUAUUAUUAUAAUUACUAACGUUGCCGUUCUGGAGAUGCGACCCAAGGCCUUGAGCGUGUUGGGCAGGUGCUCUGUAAGUGAGCUGUAGCCACAGCGUUCACACUCAAAACUUAAGUUUAAUGUCACUUUUUGAAUCCAUGUUGCCAUGUUUUAAUAAAUAUUUUGUUUGUUUUAUUAUGUAUGUGAGUACACUGAUGUUCUCUUCAGACACACCAGAAGAGGGCAUCAGAUCCCAUUACAGAUGGUUGUGAGCCACCAUGUGGUUGCUGGGAAUUGAACUCAGGACUUCUGGAAGAGCAGCCAGUGCUCUUAACUGCCGAGCCAUCUCUCCAGCCCAUUUUUGUUUUUGUUUUUAUUUGUUUGUUGGUUGGUUUUUUUUGAAACAGGGUUUUUCUGGUGUAGCCCUGGCUGACCUGGACUUCACUCUGAGAUCUGCCUGCCCCUCCCCCUGCAGUGUUAGAGUUAAAGUUGUGCACCAUCCCCCAUCCUGGUGCCAUCUCUUGCUAUCUUUAAAACACCUUGCUGCAUUUUUAAUGAUUUUGUGUCUGAGCAUGUGUGGGUGUUGCACAAGCAGAGGUCCGAAUACAACUUUUGGGAGUUGGUUCUCUUCUCCUACCAUCGUGUGGGUUCUGGGCUUGGCUUCAGGUCAUCAAUCAGGCUUGGUGGUAGGUACCUUUCCAAUGCUGAUCCAUCUUUUGGUCCCCCCCCCCCUUUCUUGACUAUUUUCCCAGCCU